rnacentral:tRNA from 1 species
GCCGUAUUCCCAUAAUGGUAUUGGAGCUGGUUGCUAACCAGUCAGUCGAUAUUCGACUUGGAGGUUCGACUCCUUCAUGCGGCG